GAGUUUGAUCGUGGCUCAGAUUGAACGCUGGCGGCAUGCCUUACACAUGCAAGUCGAACGGCAGCACGGGAGCUUGCUCCUGGUGGCGAGUGGCGAACGGGUGAGUAAUGCAUCGGAACGUAUCCUGGAGUGGGGGAUAACGUAGCGAAAGUUACGCUAAUACCGCAUAUUCUGUGAGCAGGAAAGCGGGGGACCUUCGGGCCUCGCGCUCUUGGAGCGGCCGAUGUCGGAUUAGCUAGUUGGUGAGGUAAAGGCUCACCAAGGCGACGAUCCGUAGCAGGUCUGAGAGGAUGAUCUGCCACACUGGAACUGAGACACGGUCCAGACUCCUACGGGAGGCAGCAGUGGGGAAUUUUGGACAAUGGGGGCAACCCUGAUCCAGCCAUGCCGCGUGAGUGAAGAAGGUCCUCCGGGUUGUAAAGCUCUUUCGCGAGGGAAGAAAUUGCACCGGACAAUACCUGGUGUAGAUGACGGUACCUUGAUAAGAAGCACCGGCUAACUACGUG
rnacentral:rRNA from 1 species